AUGGGACUUGGAGUAAAUUCAGACACACAGACAACAUCAGAAUUCACUUCAUCUACAACAGAGAUAUCAUCCUCUAGUAUAGAACAAAAAACAAACCAGCAGAGACAAUCCACUCAAUAUACUUCAACCACUGAAAUAGAAUCUACACCAACAGCUCCAUCAACAUUUACAACAGCUGUAUCUCCUGUGAGCUCAACAACAAUAGAAUCAUUUACAAGUGAAAGUGGUUCAACACUGGGAACAACAACAGAUUCUACUCCAUCUUCACCAUCGUCUACAACAGAAGCACAGAUAACAACAGAAUUCACUUCAUCUACAACAGAGAUAUACUCUCAUCUACGUAGGUAGAACCAAACCAACGGAAACCUAGGCAGACACCAACCACUCAAUAUACUUCUAUCACUGAUAUAGAAUCUACAACAGCUCCAUCAACAUUUACAACAGCUGUGUCCCCCCUGAGCACAACCACAAUAGAACAUCUACAAGUGAAAGUGGUUCAACACUGGAACAACAUCAUUUCCAACAGAUUCUACUGCAUCUUUACCAUCGUCUACAACAGAAGGACAGACAACAUCAGAAUUCACUUCAUCUACAACAGAGAUAUCCUCAUCUAGUCUAGAACAAACAACAAAUCAGCAGACACCAUCCACUCAAUAUAGUUCUACCACUGAAAUAGAAUCUACACCAACAGCUCCAUCAACAAUUACAACAGCUGUAUCUCCUGUGAGCAAAACCACAAUAGAAUCAUCUACAAGUGAAAGUGGUUCAACACUGGGAACAACAUCAUUUCCAACAGAUAAUACUGAAUAUUCACCACUGUCUACGAUAGAAGGAAAGUCAACAUCAGAAUUCACUUCAUCUACAACAGAGAUAUCCUCAUCUAGUGUAGAACAAACAACAAACCAGCAGACACCAACCACUCAAUAUACUUCUACCACUGAUAUCGAAUCUACAACAACAGCUCCAUCAACACUUACAACAGCUGUAUCUCCUGUGACAAAGUACAUCAGAAUUAACUUCAUCCGCAACAGAAAUAUCUUCAUCCACUGUAGAGCAAACAACAAGCCAGCAGGCUCAAACAACUGUGUUUAGUUCUACCACAGAAACAGAACCUAUAAUGACAGCUCAAUCAACAUUUACAACAGCUAUGUCCCCUAUGACCACGACCACUAUUGAAUCAUCUACAAGUGAAAGAAGUUCAACACUGGAAACUACAUCAUCCUCAACAGGAACAUCUCCAUCUUCACAGUCUACUGCAACAGACGGACAAAGUACAUCAGAAUUGAUUUCAUCAACAACAGAAAUGUCUACUUCUAGUGAAGAGCAAACAACAAGCCAGGGGACACAAACCUCUAUGUUUACUUCUACCACAGAAACAGAACCCACAACAAGAGCU
rnacentral:lncRNA from 1 species